ensembl:ncRNA Y51F10.13 ncRNA
CUUAGGCUUAGGCUCAAGUUUAGGCUUAGGCUUGGCUUAGGCUAAGGCUUAGGUUAAGUGCUUAGGCUUAGGCUUAAUUUAGGUGCUAGUCUUAGUCUUAGGCUUAGCGCUUAGGCUAAGGCUUACGCUUAGGCUUAUGCUAAGGCUUAGGCUUAGGCUCAGGCUCAGGCUUAAGCUAAGGCUAAGGCGUAGGCUUAGCCUUAGGCCUAGUGU